rnacentral:tRNA from 1 species
AGCGCGUUGGCAGAAUAGUGCAACUGAUUUAGGAUCAGUUUAUGGAAUAAAGCCACACGCUA